UGAAUGCACUUGGUUACUCAGUUGGUCAUAGUUUCAAGUGGCUACUAGCGCUACUCAUAGUCAUUUGACUUAAAACAUUAUUAACCUUCUGACAUGAGGGAAAACAUUUAUGAAUAAUGCACCCGGUUAUUCAGUUGGUCACAAAUUCAUUUGACUAGAGGAAAUGAUUAUUAUUUGUUCUUUUUUCUUUUCUCUUUUUUUCAUAUUUCCCAAUCUUAUACAUGAACUAUAAAAAUUUAGACACACAAAUCAGGAUAAG
rnacentral:lncRNA from 1 species